ensembl:lncRNA
ACAGGGAGAGGGAGGGGGAAUUAGAGAGAAAGAGAAGGACACAGGGAGAGGGGAGGAAUUAGAGAGAAAGAGAAGGACACAAAGAGAAAGUAGGAAUUAGAGAGAAAGAGAAAGAUACAAAGAGAAAGGAGGAAUUAGAGAGAAAGAGAAGGACACAAAGAGAAAGGAGGAACCACCUAAAAGGAAGCGAUUCACAAACCUUCCAUAACAAAGCCAUCACCUACAGAGAGAUGAACCUGGAGAAGAGUCCCCUAAGCAAGCUGGUCCUGGGGCUCUGUUCACAAACACAAACACACACUACAGAGCCCCAGGACAGCAAAACAAUUAGACCCAACCAAAUCAUGAGAAAACAAAAAGAUAACUACUUAACACAUUGGAAAGAAUUAACAAAAAAACAGAGCAAACUAGAAUGCUAUUUGGCCCUACACAGAGAGUACACAGUGGCAGAAUACCUGACCACUGUGACUGACCCAAAAUUAAGGAAAGCCUUGACUAUGUACAGACUCAGUGAGCAUAGCCUUGCUAUUGAGAAAGGCCGCCGUAGGCAGACAUGGCUCUCAAGAGAAGACAGGCUAUGUGCUCACUGCCCACAAAAUGAGGUGGAAACUGAGCUGCACUUCCUAACCUCCUGCCCAAUGUAUGACCAUAUUAGAGAGACAUAUUUCCCUCAGAUUACACAGAUCCACAAAGAAUUCGAAAACAAAUCCAAUUUUGAAAAACUCCCAUAUCUACUGGGUGAAAUUCCACAGUGUGCCAUCACAGCAGCAAGAUUUGUGACCUGUUGCCACGAGAAAAGGGCAACCAGUGAAGAACAAACACCAUUGUAAAUACAACCCAUAUUUAUGCUUAUUUAUUUUAUCUUGUGUCCUUUAGCCAUUUGUACAUUGUUAGAACACUGUAUAUAUAUAUAUAAUAUGACAUUUGUAAUGUCUUUACUGUUUUGAAACUUCUGUAUGUGUAAUGUUUAAUGUUAAUUUUUGUUGUUUUUCACUUUAUAUAUUCACUUUGUAUGUUGUCUACCUCACUUGCUUUGGCAAUGUUAACACAUGUUUCCCAUGCCAAUAAAGCUCUUGAAUUGAAUUGAAUUGAAUUGAGAUAGAUAGAGAGAGAGAGAGAGAGAGAGAGAGAGAGAGAUAGAGAGAGAGAGAGGAGGAAUUACAGAGUGAAAGAGGACACAGAGAGAGGAGGAAUGAGAGAAAGAGAGAGAGAGAGGGAGAAAGAGAAAGACAGAGAAGGACAGAUAGACAGAGAGAGAGAGAGCCAGAGAAAGACAGACAGACAGAGAGAGAGAAAGAGAGAGAGAAAGACAGAGAGAGAGAGAGAGAGACAGAGAGAGAGAGAGACAGAGAGAGAGAGAGAGAGAGAGAGACAGAGAGAGACAGAGAGAGAGAGAGAGACAGAGAAAGACAGAGAGAGAGAGAGAGAGAGAGAGGUGGAAUUACAGAGCGCAAAAGCGUAAGCACAGAAAGAGAUGGAAAUUGAGUGAAAAAGAGGAACUUUAAUUAGCCAAAGUUAUUAUUGACAUCUGGGCGCUCUUCAGGUGUCAUAAAGAUGGCGGCAUAAUGUUUGCCCGUGUCUCUCCUUCUCUUGUUUUGCCAAAUAACUUUUGGAAAAGUUAGCUAACAUUGACCGUCAUCCUAUUUCUCCUCAAAUGACUAGUGUUGUUGGAUCUCACGUCUAUAUUAAUUCCACGUGUGUCUGUAUAAAUGUCCAGUGUGUGUAUUAUUAGACUGAAAGGUGGCAGGUUGUAAUCAGUUCCAGACCUUAGUGGUUCCAUGAUGAGCUGUCAUCACUCUGUUCACACUGUGGUGGUCCUGAUGGCAUGAAGACAAAACACACUU